UAACACAUGCAAGUCGAGGGGCAGCAUGAGGUAGCAAUACCUUGAUGGCGACCGGCGCACGGGUGAGUAACGCGUAUGCAACCUGCCUGAUACCGGGGUAUAGCCCAUGGAAACGUGGAUUAACACCCCAUAGUACUUUUAUCCUGCCUGGGAUGUGAGUUAAAUGUUCAAGGUAUCGGAUGGGCAUGCGUCCUAUUAGUUAGUUGGCGGGGUAACAGCCCACCAAGACGAUGAUAGGUAGGGGUUCUGAGAGGAAGGUCCCCCACAUUGGAACUGAGACACGGUCCAAACUCCUACGGGAGGCAGCAGUGAGGAAUAUUGGUCAAUGGGAGCAGGCCUGAACCAGCCAAGUAGCGUGAAGGAUGA
rnacentral:rRNA from 1 species